UAUACGUUCAUCAUAACUAAUCGAUUGAUGCUCAAUAUUUGUAUACCCCCAAUUCAAUUUUGAGUAGUUUUGGGUGGACAAUAUACAAAUGAAAACUAAAUCUCGAUUAUUCAUGCUCUGAAUAAAAAGUUUGCUGUUGUUGGAAUUUUAUUUGAAGGGGUGUCAGAGCGGAAAAAAACAAAAAGUUUUGAAACUUUUUGGUGGUAUAUCGCGGACGUUGUAAGGUGCGAACCAGUUCCGACGAAGCUCUAAGCAAGAAAAGGUACGGAAAGGUAAGGCGCAGAAUAUCCGCGUCGGUAUGGAACGGAAGAACCUGAGAAACGAGUUCGAUCUGACCGGGGAAAUUCUCGGAAUCAAUCCGUACAUUGCCACCCUGUGGAUCUUUCGGCGGAUGUGGAUCAAACGGCAUGAGUAAGUCCAUUGUAUCUUUUUUUUUUCUUUGAUGUAAGAUUUCGAGCUUAUAAAAUUUUUCUUAUUAGAUGAACUAUCAACUUCAUUUAUUUCCAGGAAAAUGCAAAAUAAAAAUAAAAAACGGCAAGUGAACCAGAAAUUGUACUGUGCCUGUAUCACCGGUGUUGGAUUCUGGAAACGCUCCGACGGACCCAAGAAACUAUAAGUCGAUUUCUUCUCACGGCAUUUACUGUCAUUUUCGGAUAAUCAACGAUAGGUUGCAAAACAAACUGUUCCCAAAGUUCAGCUGAACUUAUAAACCGAUACCGAUACGAUUCAGAACAGCAUUUCCAGCUACUCAUCGUGCCACUACCGAAGGAAGCUGCUUCGGUGCUUGAUUUCCAACAUUCAAUCGGCGGCUUCAUAUUCAUUCAUUCAACACUUCGCGUAUACUGCAUUCCCAUACAAACAUCUAAACUUCAUACUGCAAGCUUGACGGAAGAGUCUUUUAAUUCUGGUCAUCUCAUCGGAACUUUUUUAAAAGAUCCUCGAUUCCCCCUGGGCCCCCUCUAGGUUAGGCAACAUGUUGAUGUGGUCCGUACCGGAUGUUCAAACGAAUGUCUUACCAGUUGAACCUUGAACCAUGUUUGGUGUUACGUUUGUUGCGGAUCUAAAUGAGAAAGAACAUUCCGGCAUUAGAAUUACCGGUAUUAUGUGUAUUUGACAAUAAAUAUUUUAUAG